rnacentral:rRNA from 1 species
CCUACGGGGGGCAGCAGUGAGGAAUAUUGGUCAAUGGGCGCGAGCCUGAACCAGCCAAGUAGCGUGAAGGAUGACUGCCCUACGGGUUGUAAACUUCUUUUAUAAAGGAAUAAAGAGAGGUACGUGUGUCUGUAUGUAUGUACUUUAUGAAUAAGGAUAGGCUAACUCCGCGCCAGCCGCCGCGGUAAUACGGAGGAUGCGAGCGUUAUCCGGAUUUAUUGGGUUUAAAGGGAGCGUAGAUGGGUUGUUAAGUUAGAUGUGAAAGUUUGCGGCUCAACCGUAAAAUUGCAAUUGAUACUGGCAGGCUUGAGUGCAGAUGAGGUAGGCGGAAUUCGUGGUGUAGCGGUGAAAUGCUUAGAGAUCACGAAGAACUCCGAUUGCGAAGGCAGCUUACUAAGCUGCCACUGACAUUGAUGCUCGAAAGUGUGGGGAUCAAACAGGAUUAGAUACCCCAGUAGUC